ACCAGUGAUGAGAUAUAAGAGGGGCUAUAAUUGUUCAAUGCUUUAUAGGUAUGGGUUAGCACUUUUAAUUGACUCCUAUAAAAUACAGGAAGCCAAUGUAAGGACUGGCAGAGGGAUGAGGUGUGAGAGUACUGACUAGAGAAGAAAAUAUUCUGGCGGCAGUAUUCAUUACAGAUUGUAGCAGGCAAUAUGGCUUUUGGGAAGACCAAUUAGGAGAGGGUUACAAUAAUCCAUGCGGGAAAUUACUAGAGCAUGCACAAACUCCUUGGUAGCAUCUUGUGUAAGAAAG